AUGACGAUACUUUGCUAGAACUGCCGGGGCUUGGGCCGACCCCGGGAAGUUCAAGAAUUGGUGAGGCUUGUGCAUGCUCAGCGUCCAUUUUUUUUUCUUUCUGAAACUCGUCAAAAUAAAAAGUUUGUUGAGGGUCUUAGAUGGAGACUAGGUCUCCGUAAUGUAGUUUCCUUUACAGAAGAUGGUAAAUGGGGUGGCCUAGCACUGUUCUGGGAUGAGAGUAUCGAAGUUGAACUAUUUAAGCUAGGUGAGAGAUUUAUCGAUGUAUUCAUUUGUAAUAUGCCCUUUGGAAUAAAGUGGAGAUGCACGUUUGUUUACGGCGAGCCCUGCACUCAUAUGCGCCACCAUAUGUGGGAUCUCAUGCGUAAAAUAAAACUUUUAACUACGCCGGAACCAUGGUUUAUGGCAAGCAAUUUUAAUGAGUGUAUGUGGCAGGAUGAGCAUUUUUCUAGGACUUGUAGAAACCAAAAACAAAUGCUUGAUUUUAGAGAAGUCCUAUCCCACUGUGAUCUUCAUGAUCUAGGUUACAUAUGGGCGCCCUGGACCUUUGACAAUGGCCAAGAUGGCUACCGCAAUGUUAAAGUUAGACUUGAUAGGAUGGUGGAGAACCCGGAAUGGAUGAAUAUCUUCCCAAACUGUUAG
rnacentral:rRNA from 1 species